rnacentral:tRNA from 1 species
UGGCUCAGUUGGUAGAGCAUGGCACUUGAAAUGCUAGGGUUGUGGGUUUGAUUCCCAC